rnacentral:rRNA from 1 species
CGAACGCUGGCGGCGUGCUUAACACAUGCAAGUCGAACGAGAAAGUUUCUUCGGAAAUAAGUAAAGUGGCGCACGGGUGAGUAACGCGUAGAUAACCUGUCCAGGUGAUCGGGAUAGCCCUUCGAAAGGGGGAUUAAUACCGAAUACGUUGAUUGUUUGUAAGGACGAUCAAGAAAGGUGGCCUCUAUUUAUAAGCUAUCGCACAUGGAGGGGUCUGCGUACCAUUAGUUUGUUGGUGGGGUAAUGGCCUACCAAGACUACGAUGGUUAGCGGGUCUGAGAGGAUGAUCCGUCACACUGGCACUGAAACACGGGCCAGACUCCUACGGGAGGCAGCAGUGAGGAAUAUUGCGCAAUGGGGGAAACCCUGACGCAGCGACGCCGCGUGGGUGAGGAAGGCUUUCGGGUCGUAAAACCCUGUCAGAAGGGAAGAAAUGCUUAUAGGUUAAUAUCUUGUAAGUUUGACGGUACCUUCAAAGGAAGCACCGGCUAACUCC